rnacentral:lncRNA from 1 species
UGCCCCGAAUAUUGCAUUGGACCUAAUAUAAAAAUUCUUCAUUUGCCUGAAAUCCAAACUCGACAGGCCACCUCGUUUUUUUUUGUUUGUUUGUUUUUCUGUUUUUGUCUUUUUGCCAUUUCUUGGCCGCUCCAGCGGCAUAUGGAGGUUCCCAGGCUAGGGGUCGAAUCGGAGCUGUAGCCGCCGGCCUACGCCAGAGCCACAGCAACAUGGGAUCCGAGCCGCGUCUGUGACCUACACCACAGCUCAUGGCAACUCUGGAUCGUUAACCCACUGAGCAAGGGCAGGAACCGAACCUGCAACCUCAUGGCUCCUAGUCGGAUUCGUUAACCACUGUGCCGCAACGGGAACUCCCCACCUUGUAUUUUGAUGUGCUAAAUCAAACAACUCCAUCUAGCAGAACUGAGUCGGAUGAAUAAAUUAAUGAGUUUGCUUUAGUUAUCUAUUGCCGCAUAGCAAAUUACCAUCAACUUAGCUGCGUAAAACCAUCCCGGUUCACACCCCUGUGUAAAAUGGAUCAGUAACAAGGCUGUAUCGCAGAGCAGAGGGAAUUACAGCUGUGAUCUUGUAAUAACUUUUAAUGGAGUACAACCUGCAAAAACACGGAGUCGCAACGCUGUGCACUUGACACUGACAGUGUAAAUCAACUAUACUUAAAAAAAGUCAUUCCCUGUUCAUUAUCACUCAGGUUUGGUGGGUCAGAAGUCCAGGCACGGGCCAGCUGCCUCUGCUGCAGGAUCUCACCUGGGCGGAGAUCAAGGGAUGGACGGGGGCUGCGGUCUCACCUGAAAUCGAGGUGUGAAGCUGGAAAAGGAUCAGCGUUUGAGCUCCCGCAGGGGCUGGUAGAGUUGAUCUCCUUGUGGCUGUGGGACUCGGAGCCCAGGGCUUCUUCAGCGAUGCUGAGGAAACCAAGCAUUUAGGCCCCGCCCCUUCUGGGGUGCCUCAGAGACCCCAUCUGAGAACGGCUGUGAUGAAAGUUUCCUCCUGACCUGGCAGCGUGGAAGGCUCCUGGGACGUGUCAUCAUCCCCCGUGUAUUUUCUGCUCCAAGAACAACCCCCUGUGGGAACGACAACGAGGCAGGGCCUUCCUUCCUGCCCUUUCUUCCAGGCUCCGAAAGAUCAAUCCGACCAGCGGCCUUCCCAGGGGCCCACGUGCCGCCGGAGGGAGAAAGUCCUGGGGGAGGGCAGGGGGAAGUCCUCCUCCCCACCUAUUUCUCGGAAGGAAAAAUAAACUUGUAAAUGUUGGAAAUAAGUCACGUGCCUGUUCUGCACGCCUUGCUCAUUGCCCUUCCUGCUCCGAGUUUUUGUCUUCUCUGGGUACUACUGAUUCUAUUACCUAACCUUUGUCUUUAAAAAAAACUCAUGUAAAAUGCCUUUUUAUAUAGCAUUGGAAAAAGCGCUCUGUGGGAGUUCCCGCUGUGGCUCGGUAGUAAGGAACCCGACUAGCAUCCAUGAGGAUGUGGGUUUGAUCCCUGGCCUCGCUCACUGG